rnacentral:rRNA from 1 species
GAGGUGUAUAGGUGAUGCUGUCCAACAGGAGUACAGCUUAAUUAUUAUUGAGUGAGUGCUCGAAGAAGGUGAAAAGCCUGUGUGGUUGUUCUUAUUUGUUGGACUGCAGCACUGAAGAGUCUAGUUGUUUGAGAGUACAACUUAAAGUUGGUGGUAAAUUUCAUCAAAGGCUAAAUAUACGAGGGGACUAAUAGCGAACAAGUACCAUGAGGGAAAGUUGAAAAGAACUCUGACGAGAGAGUUCAAUAGUACGUGAAACCAUAUUGAGGAAAACAGAUAACUGUGCUGUUAUGUGGUGUGCCUAUCAACAGUCUGUUUGGUGUUGUGCGACCUGGAAUGUAUGUUGUUCCUACAGCUGGUUGUUCGAGGUUGGCAUAGCAUGAGAGUCUGUGCAAUAGCGCGCACCACUACAUUGAGAACCUAUGCUGCUGCGGCAUCAGACUGCGACAGUGCGUACGUAGUGCGUAGUUGUGUUCUGGGAGCAGCUAGCUAGCGUAGGUUAGCUGUGUGACAGCUGUGAGCAGCGUUUAUGAUAGGUGACCACUGUAUCUGCGAUUUGGUUUAUUCCUUUUUGUGGUGAGUGUGUUAUCGUCAGUAAGCUGCUUCCCAUCAAUGUUUAGCAUUAGUUAUUUGACCCGUCUUGAAACACGGACCAAGGAGUUCAAAUGGCACGCAAGUCAUUGGGCUUUAACACCCGAAGGCGAAGUGAAAUGCAAAUGUAUUGUUAUUUGUGGUUGUACCAUGACGAAGCGAUAAGCUA